rnacentral:rRNA from 1 species
CCUACGGGAGGCAGCAGUGGGGAAUCUUCCGCAAUGGGCGCAAGCCUGACGGAGCAAUGCCGCGUGAACGAAGAAGGUCUUCGGAUUGUAAAGUUCUGUCCUUAUCGACGAGAGAGUAUAGAGUGAAAAAUGAUAUACUAGGACGGUAGAUGAGGAGGAAGCCCCGGCUAACUACGUGCCAGCAGCCGCGGUAAUACGUAGGGGGCGAGCGUUGUCCGGAAUCAAUGGGCGGAAAGGGCGCGGAGGCGGUACUAUAAGUAAGAGGGGAAAGGUGUGGGCGCAAACCCUAGAGUGCAACUGAUACUGUAUAACGUGAGUGUGAGAGAGGGAAGCGGAAUUCCUAGUGUAGCGGUGAAAUGCGUAGAUAUUAGGAGGAACACCAGUGGCGAAGGCGGCUUUCUGGCUCAUAACUGACGCUGAGGCGCGAAAGCGUGGGGAGCAAACAGGAGUAGAUACCCGAGUAGUC